GUGCUCACUUAGAGACAGCACAUAUACAAAAAUUGGAAUGAUACAGAGAAGAUUAACAUGACAUCUGCACAUGGAUGACAUGUAAAUUUGUGAAGUGUUCCAUAUUUUU
ensembl:snRNA U6 U6 spliceosomal RNA